AGCUUAAGAGCCGCGGUAUUUUGACCGUGCAAAGGUAGCAUAAUCAUUAGUUUUUUAAUUGGAAACUCGUAUGAAUGGUUAAACAAAAGAAUCUCUGUCUUUUUAUCUAAUAUUGAACUUAACUUUUAAGUGAAAAGGCUUAAAUUUUUUAAGGGGACGAUAAGACCCUAUAAAGCUUUAUAAUGAAAUAAUAUUUUUUUGAAUGAAUUUUAUAAAAAAUAAAUAAAAUAACCUUAUUUUGUUGGGGCGACAUAGAUAUAAAUAUAUAAUUUAACUGUCAUAAUAUAAUACAUAAAUAUUUGAAUUAAUAUAGAUGAUCCUUCUUUUAAAGAUUAAAAGACUAAGUUACUUUAGGGAUAACAGCGUUAUUUCUUUUGAGAGUUCUUAUUGAAAAAGAAGUUUGCGACCUCGAUGUUGAAUUAAAAAAUCUUUAUAGUGCAGCCGUUAUAAAAAGAAGGUCUGUUCGACCUUUAAAUUUUUA
rnacentral:rRNA from 1 species